rnacentral:tRNA from 1 species
UUUUAGGGAGACCAUCUGACCGAAGACCGAACCUUAACUAUAGGUCAAAGUCAGUCAUCCCUGGUCGUUCGAGAUAAUAGAGUAAAAAGCUUUCAAACUAUUUAAUUGGUUCAGGCAAUGGGCUAUUAGCUCAGUUGGUUAGAGCGCACCCCUGAUAAGGGUGAGGUCCCUGGUUCAAAUCCAGGAUGGCCCACCUGGAAAAAAAGUAAUGAGAUUGAAGUGAUGAGUAGUGAACCGUAAAUUCCCAACUCAAGAAACCAAAAAUCAAAACUAAUUAGUGGGGGUAUAGCUCAGCUGGUAGAGCGCCUGCCUUGCACGCAGGAAGUCAGCGGUUCGAGUCCGCUUACCUCCACUCUCACUAGCAAAACCGACAUCAAACCAUCAAAUUAGAAAACAGAAACCAGCACCUAGACCAGCAAAAAGCUCGUCAGAAUGCUGGAGUCUCGACUCUAGUCAGAACCUUGAAAACUGCAUAGAAAUUAAGUCAUCAUCAAACAGGUGAGAGAACUGAGAAAUCAGAAAAUCUUACCAAGACCAUCAAAAACAA